rnacentral:piRNA from 1 species
UCCUCUGCAAUGGUUUGUUUUGGCUGC